CAUUCAAACCCUAUACUGAUUGUUGUGAUUGAGAAAUUGAGUUGGAAGAGGAGGUGUCAAUAUUGGAGCGAAACAAGUCAGCGAGAUUCCGUCAGCCAUUUCCAACAUCCAAAAAGCUUGGAAUUUUUCGUGGAUUCUGACAGCAACAGGAGUAAGAUUCCAAUACAGGUAGAAAAAUGGCCGACAACGAAGAUGGAUUAAUUGAUAUAGUAUUUAGAGUAGGGGGUGCUUUGUUACUAAACAAGUGUCAAAAUCAAAGCAUUUGCUUUGUUGGUGUGGUGGGUUAUGUUAUUGGAGGAGGGAUGUGGUAGUGGAUAAGAUAGAUUUGCAUUAUUUGAGGGUAGCUGCUGUGCAUGGGUUUGUGAACUUUAAUGUCCAUGUCCCACCUAACUACAGACUUUGGUAUAAAGAAAGAGGUAGGACCUUUAACACAGGGAGAAGAGAGUUAGUAAAUGAAGAGGAAGUGAAGGGGCUGCUGGAGACAAUGAAUGGGGAAGGGUAUGUUGAAGUAUUUGUGACUGCUAAUGAAACAUUAAGGCCCAUACAUGAGAUCCAAGCCUAGUCCACUCCAGUAAAGGCUGAGAGAAAGGGGAAGAAAAGUUCAGGUAAGCCUGCUGUAGUUAGGAAGAGCCCAAGAAUUAACAAAAAUGAGCCUAAGGUGAGGGAGGGUGAAGAAUCUCCUAAACCUAGAUCUAGACAGGGGAUAGAAAGGGUUGAAGGGGUUUCUGCUGAGAUUAAGGGGGUUCCUAGUAGAGGGAAGUUGUUGAGUAAGGGGAAACAAAAGGGUAAAGCUAAGCUUGAAAGGGGUUCUGGCAGUGUGAAGGUGUUGGAUAAGGGAAAGGGAAAAAAAAAA